UGUAACAGCAACUCCAUGUGGAAUCUCUGCUUGUUCCAGUGGAAGUGCUGUUACCUG
rnacentral:pre_miRNA from 1 species